UGGGGAAUCUUGCGCAAUGGGCGAAAGCCUGACGCAGCCAUGCCGCGUGAAUGAUGAAGGUCUUAGGAUUGUAAAAUUCUUUCAGUAGGGACGAUAAUGACGGUACCUACAGAAGAAGCCCCGGCUAACUUCGUGC
rnacentral:rRNA from 1 species